GUAAAGUUUCAUGUACGAAGAUUGCAGAGGCUGCAAACAAGAUCUCAUUUCAAAGAGAAAUGAGUUGCCCUUUUCACCCAGCCUAGCAAACAUUCUAAGACAGUUUUAUGAUGGGGUUUUAUUAAAUUAUACAGAGCUGGGGGGGGGGAAUUUUAAUGAUUCAGUGAUAAAAAAAAGUAAUGAUAAAUAUUACAGUACCUGUUUUCUCUUGAAGAGAGGAAGGAUUUUGUGGAAGUGAUCCUAUGCAAAACGCAAAGGACAGAAUUGGGAAGCACUGAACCUCAGCCAGUCCAGCCUAACGAACAGCUUCCUUAAUAGGUAUUCCCAAUCAUUUAAAAUUAAUUAUUUUGAAAUCAUGUGAAAAAGGGGAGAAGACAUCUGUACGUGCUAACAGCCCCCAAGGGAAUCCUGAGUCAUUACUUAACUUUGGUUACUUAGUGCCCACAGGAUGGUCUUCUAUCCCACCAGCAUGUUAACACCAGCAAUAAAAUAAAUGAGUAUAAGCCAGAGCCCUUUCCUGCUUCCUGAGCCAUUACCAGCACUUAUGUCCUUGGUGAAAUCAGCUUUCACGGAGGUCCAGAUCACCACCUGUGCGUGGUUCCUCAUCCUUCCUAAGGAAGCCUCGCAGCUGUGCACACACAUGUGCCCAUCGCUCUCCAGAAAAUUCUCGGCUGUUCUGGAAAGUUUUGCAGUGAUGACCUUUGAUACUGCAAACUCAGGAAUUGAAGUGACUCAUUCUGCAGGGAAAUGCUCAGCCUGGCCCCCGGCCUCAAGGGACCCACUCAGCGCCAAAGCAUGCUAAGACUGCACACAGCCAGUUAAAAUACUCUGAAACACCAGGGCCAUGUAAAAAAUGCAAAGUCACAAGCAAGAUUCUGGCCAUGAGCUAGUAACUUCCUCAGAAUGAAUCAACAGAAAAAGGCAUCAUUGCAAUGCGGGAGCAAAGGAAAGCAGAGAAGCAAACCAAAUCUCACUUUAAAAUGCAACCCAAAUCACACAGCAUUCAUAAGCUGUGCAUGGAGAAGCAAGCCAUGUGUUAUAACACAAUCAAGCAAAGAAAUGCUUCAUGUAUUUCGACUUAAGUUCACCUUCAUUACAUACGGAGUGCUUUUCGUUGCAUACCUGCGGUUUCUAUUAAGUUUAAGUUAGUAAGUGCUGGAGGACAGCUCAGAGGGGAAUUGUCCAGGCUCUGGAAAGGACAUUGUACUUCAG
ensembl:lncRNA